UUGAUUAUUCCUCUUCCCCUCUCUCUUUUACCUCUAUCUGUAUGCCAUCUGCUCAACUCAGUUUCAAUCUCCCAGUAGGUUGUCUAUGCUGAGAAACAAAGUCAGCCAUAAAGCCAUAAAGCCAGUGAAAGUAGUGAAAAUCUGUGCGGGUUCUAAUAUUAUUGUUAAUAAAAUAUUAAUUUAUUAAAAAAUGCAGAAUGAGUUCUAGACCUAAUUUACAAUUGUUAGUCAUCAAUUGUAAUAAAAACACAGAAAACAAUGUUUCAAUUAAAACGAACACAGGAGCAUCGAAAUCUGGAACACGUGUAUUAAUCUCAGCAGCAGACGAAUAGCUGGGCAAUGCGGAAGAAGUAGUAGAAGCUGGCUUUAGUGGAGCCCUUGGCAUCCCUUUAUACUUAAAGCAGAAGAUGAACAGCCAGGCAGUGAAGUAACAAUAGUAGAAGAUGGCUUUGGCGCAGUCCUAGGUAUCCCAUUAUGCCUAGAGUAACAAAUGAACUGCUGGGUGCUGAGAACAGGGUAUUAGAAGAUGAGUUUGGUGGAGCCCUUGGCAUCCAGUUAUACGCAAAGAUUAAAUGAUUGAUAUAAAGGUACGCAAUUUACCAGCUACUUCUUUCUAUUUUGGCAAUGGAAAACUGCAAAGAAUAAUCGUAAAUUUGAACUCUUCACAAUGGACUGCUUAUUGAAACUUCCGCAAUUACUCGGUAUUGUUGGACAGAUGAAACAAAAGAAAGUGCAGUAGUUCGAAUUUUGACAGUUCCACAAAACCUAACCUCAUUUAAUCUAAUUACAAGGCAACAACAAUAAGCAUUAAGAAAAAUGAACAACCUACAGAAAAUUAUUGUACAAAAUUUGAUAAGCAACUGUCACAAUAAUUUUACGUUUGAUAUACGGGAUGUAAAGCAUAGAGAUCAAGAAAGUAUUAAUAAUUUUUGUGAAGUAGUGAAAAAGGAAAUCAAAGAAAAAGAAAAUGUAGACAUUGAAGUUGAGGGUGUCAAAAAUGUGUGGUACAACAUGCGCAGAAAAUUUGUUAAAAUUAACUUGGAAAAGUUUCGACGUCAAAAAAUUUCAGAUACACAUGAAGAAUUUUAUCAAUAUUUAAUUUUUCUAGAAAAUUAUAUAUCACACAAAGAAGAUUCAGUGUAUAUCUCACUUAAUCAAAAAGAAGUCCAACAAAGAGUAUACGAUUAUCUUAUGGGCCACACCUAUGAAGAGCAACACGAAAAGUUACCUGAGCAGCCAUAUGAAAAACCACAUGAAGAGCAACAUAAAGAGCCACAUGAAGAGCCAAAAGAAGUCGUUAGGAUAAUUUUUUAAAAAAUUAUCCAGAUUUAAAAAAUCUCUUCAAUAUCAAUAAUCAAAAUGAACAUGAACCCGUUGAUCUUACCAGUACAGAAGGCCAUGUGAUAUAUGAAGAGAUACCUCAAGAGGUAUCGACUGCUGAUAGUGCUUUUCAUUUACAAGAAGAGUACAAUCAAAGUAUGGAAGAAACUUCAGGAUUAGAAAUCCUUGAGGGCUAUGAAGAUAUAGUUAUGAUAAGUUUACUGUCAAAUAAUGAAAGCAAAAUACAAAUAGAACCAUUCGAGCAACUUUCUUCCAAAGAGCCUAACAUUAUAAAGAAAGCUUUUGAUAGUCAAACUUUUAAAGAGUCACAAGUGCCAAUCAUUGAAGCUGAUGUUCCUGUGAAUAAUGUCUGAUGAUAAAUCAUCAGUAUACCAUAGUCCAUUGCAGUCUUGUAUCGAUACCGUUGAUGCAAAUGAAAAGCAGCUUUCUUCUAUCCGCUUAAAAAAUGAUAAGUUGAACUUGAAGAUUAAAUCUGCAUUAGUCAAAGAAGUUGUAAUUAUUAUGUACUCAGCGUUAAUGGAGUCAAGGAGCGAAUCAUUGAAAAAAUGUCCUUUACUUUUUAUAAUCCACGUUAUCAAUAAUUUUAUAAAUUUAGUUUCUAAUAAUAAAAUAACAAAAUAGAAGAAAGUGUCAAACAGAAUUCUUUAACUUUUUGAAUUUUAUCAUAAUAUUUUAUAAAAUAAUAACUUUGUUAAUCAUAAAUGUUUCUAAGAAAUACUUUGUAAAA
rnacentral:lncRNA from 1 species